AUCUGUAACAUUGUGCUUCAUACACCCCAUUUGAGGGACCAGUCUGUUGUUUGAAAUGUCCGCCUGUAAUUUUACUUUUGGAUUCCCCCCCCCCUCCCUCCAGGGGGUCUGAUUUAGUCACUCAGUAAGGGGGUGAGGUUGUGAUUUCAAUUUUAAUGACAGUGAAGGGAUUUAAUAAAAAAUUAAGGUUAAGUAGUUCCUCAUUUAGUUCUUUGGUCAGAUUUUUAUUUUAUUUUUAUUUUAUUUAUUUAUUUUAUUUUGGAAACAAAUAAAAUGAGGGAUUUUGGGAGAUUAUUUUAAAUCACAUUUCCAUCUCAUCUGUGAUCAUUCAUAGUGUAUAUGUGUAUCCCAUUAUGGCUUUCAGUGAAGCAAUAUUUCACAUCUCUUAAGCCUUCUCAAGAUGUAUGCUUUUGAAGAGUUCUUAUAUGCAUUUUGAAUAUUCCAAAUGCAGGACAUUUUGUGAAUUUUUGAUAUACGUAUAUGACUGAUUUUUAUUUUCACUGCCAUGACAAAGAUCUGUGAUCUUCUCUGCAGAUUUUAUUGUUGAUAAAUGAGCCACAUUUUAUUUUUCUUUGUGUAAUAAUGCAGUUGUUUUUGUGCUGUAUUCCUCUUACACUAUGAAAGGUUUAUUGCUAUAUUAUUACUACUCGUGAUGAUAGCCUUGAAUCUGUAGAAUUUUUAUGCGAAAAUCAAGAAUGUAUAGACAAUCUUGUCACAAUUGGAAGCCACUCGGCACUGAUCUCCAGUGGACAUUUUCCUAAGGAAUUAAGGUUUCAAAAGUUUUGUUUUCUGUCUUUUUCACACACACACACCCCCCUUCCUCCUUGUUUUACUAAUGUGUGAUGUGUGUGCAGGUUGAACUAAGUAAAGUGUGAGUGUGUACAUAUGUCGAGCCCUGAGGUGAAGAACCGCCACAUGACGGGCCACAUCAUACAGACACUCCAGACUGCACACAUGUCAUGACAAUCUUUUGUAAAGGGAGCACAGAGAAAAGUAUAGAUCACAAAGAAAGCUGCCCCCCCUUCCCUUUUUAGCCCUACUUUUCUGCAACAUCUCAGGAUUGUGGAAAUUUUGUAGCCUGAAAUUGAAUUUGUGAACUUCUGGGACUUGGCAUCAGUGUAAAGAUUUGAAUGACUUAAACCUGUUUGCACCGUGAAAUGGCUAAGUAUUAAAUGUACUUCUUAGUGAUGUGAUUUUUUCUAAUGCAUAGUUAACAGUUCACUCUGUAUGUUUGAAACCAUACUGUUUUUGUAUAUAAAUGGGGAAUCUUAUUUUGAAUUACGGCUGAAACAGGAAGUCAAUAUUUCAGCACCUGACAGAAUGCGAUUUAUUGAGCCACAGUAACCCCUCCUGCAGUUUUAUUUUAAAUGGAAAGCUCCACUGGACGGUCAGAGG
ensembl:lncRNA